rnacentral:lncRNA from 1 species
CAGGCAUCCAGUGAGAGCAGGCGUCCAGUGAGAGCAGCUGUCCAGUGAGAGCAGGCGUCCAGUGAGAGCAGGCGUCCAGUGAGAGCAGCUGUCCAGUGAGAGCAGCUGUCCAGUGAGAGCAGGCGUCCAGUGAGAGCAGGUGUCCAGUGAGAACAGGUGUCCAGUGUGAGCACAGCUUUGGGGGUUCCAGGUAGAGUUUAGCAAGCAGGUGAAUUCACGACCGGGCUCCCCGGUGAUGAGCUGACUCUGGUCCCGGGAUCCCGCUUGGACUUUGUGUCCCUGCUCUGAGCUUGUCAUCUGGCCACUCGCUCCUGGGAGAAUUCUUCUGUCACGGCCCCUCCGAGACUCCGAACUGACUUCUGCCUUUCACGGUUUUGCCUGGCAUUCUGCAGAAGCAUUGCUGUAUCUUACCAGACAGGAAUACAGGUCUGCUGUGUGCCAAAAUAUUUUACCAUGCCCUAAAAGUGAGAUGUUGGAAGUGGACAAGGAGGAAAUAUUUAUGAAUAUUUGAGUCUGUUAUUCUUUAUGUUAAGCAUUUUGGCUUCUGUUGUACUCCUAAAUCACUACUGAGAGCAGAGAAAGAGCUCUUUGUAGAAAUGAGAUGUGUUCCUGUGUGCUGCCUGUGACGCAUCCCGUUGUCACCGGAGUGCCGUGGCCCUAAGGAAUGACAGCAUUAAGGCAUGGACGUUAAAGAUGGACAAAAGAAUUGUUCACGGUGUUGUAUUUUAAAAUGACUAUGUGUAUGACAAUUAAACUAUUGUGUCUUCGUUUACUCCAUGUGUUCUGCCUGACAGCUGGG